AGCUGUCCACAGCUAUCCACGUCUAUCUACACCAUACACAGCUAUCCACACCAUACAGCUGUCAUUGGAAUAUUGCUCUCAGAUAAAGGUUUAAUAUUUUUGGUGCCCCAUUCAAUGUCAAAUAUGCCGGGAUUAUUAAUUAAAAUAAAAUUAACUUGAGAAGUCGGGUUAUCCGUGAAACAACAAGAACUACGUUUUUGCCAACAACAAAGAAUCCUGGGCAAAAGUUAGAAAGAUGAACGCUAAAUGAUUUUUUGGUGGAUAGGAAAUACUCUCAAAGUACAUUAAAUUUGAAUCUGACCGCUAACCUAGUUCUCUUGUAUUCUUAAUCUGACCGCUAAUCUAAUUUCUUGAAUUCUGAUUAUCAAAGUAUAUGUAAAAAGAUUGAGGUUAGGUUACACUCGUUUUCAGUCACACGUGCACCCUGUGCUUUUCGUUUCCGAGUCGCGACUGGUUUUUGAUAGACGUCAAUCAAAUCCCUUCAGCGAGGCCGAGGGCUGCUCUCCCGCCAUUUCAUGGGUUUUUUUUUCCUACUUCACGCUCUAUUUUGGUCUCACGCUCUCGAAGCUAAUGAAACAAUGGCAUCGGCAUUCCAGAGGUUAUAGUGAUAUGAGCUCCGUGCUGAAUGAAUACCCUUUACAACACGCCAGUGGGAAGAAAAAAAGUCAGCCGUCCUUUAUAUGGCCGUCGACUACCGUAAAACAAUGGCUUCUAGGUUCCAUUUUUAUACCAAAUUUGGGGAUUAUGUUAUGACACACCCGAAAUUAUUUGCACUAUGCCUAGACUCUCCAGCACUACAGAGAAUUCCAUCAUCAGAGUAAAAGAAAUGCAAAAAUUAAUCAAGGCCCUCGCCAAAGGAUUUGUGGCAAAACAUUCCCCUAGGCCAUCCCCUCAGAAAAUAAAAGAUAUGAAAGACAUUCAUUCAGCCCCCCCCCCCCCCCCAAUAUCUCUCCUUAUAUCAGAUAGGUAGGUGUCACUGUCAUAUUUGUAUGUGGUAUUUUCUAGGGGUAAUUUGAGCUGUACCCUCAGGAUGGUAUAUGUAUGCACCAAGCUAUUUUAGGGUGCCAUUUUGUUUUUCUUUUGGUAUAAUGUAUGCUAUGAAAUGGGGUAUGAUUGGCAUAAUUCUUCUUUUGUCAUUCAGCUCCUGUGGGCACCCCAAGAAGAUCACCAAAGCUGCUGGAAAAACUAGCCAAGAAACUUGACAUCUUCCUUCAUGAAAUUUCUUCAGAGAUGAAAGUGAGCCACACAGCUAAUGUUCUGCAUGGUGUCAGUGACACAGCUGAACCGCCAGAAAUAAUCUCCCUGAUAAGAUCGUAUGAGUGUCCGUCACUGAUAUACACACCAGUGAAGGGUCUCUUUUGGCUCCUAAAAAGCAGCCAAUAACUCUACGCAGUGAAGACGACUUGAUGAGCUGUAAGGCUGAGUACAAGCGGGGAAACAUCAAACUCGCCUGUCGAGCAAUAAGCAUCGACAAAAAUGCAGGUACCGGAGAAACUGGUGGCACUGGAGGGAAUACAAGGAAGCGUCGCUUGGACAUGGGGGCCAAUGCAGAUGAAAAUAGGCUCUGGAAUACCACCCAUGUACAACUGGUAAAAGAUUUGGAAAAAAGAGGUGUGCUUUGGCGCUUUUGUGCUAAACAUCUAACACUCUGGACAGAUGAGAUAAUGAGCGGUAACAGUGGAGGUGUCAAUGAUGAACCUAAUUGGGAAGAGCACAUUGCUGUUGUGAUAGAACCACCCAAGAGCAGAAGGCUAUCACCUGGGUCCCAAAA